CCUACGGGGGGCAGCAGUGGGGAAUAUUGCGCAAUGGGCGAAAGCCUGACGCAGCGACGCCGCGUGAGGGAUGAAGGUCUUCGGAUCGUAAACCUCUGUCAGCAGGGAAGAACGGUCACUGUGCUAAUCAGCAGUGAAUUGACGGUACCUGUAAAGGCAGCACCGGCUAACUCCGUGCCAGCAGCCGCGGUAAUACGGAGGGGGCGAGCGUUGAUCGGAAUGACUGGGCGUAAAGCGCUCGUAGGCGGUAUGUCAAGUCAAGGGUGAAAUCCCCGAGCUCAACGUGGGAAAUGCCUUUGAAACUAGCAAACUGGAGUGUGAGAGAGGAUAGUGGAAUUCCAGGUGUAGGAGUGAAAUCCGUAGAUAUCUGGAGGAACAUCAGUGGCGAAGGCGACUAUCUGGCACAUAACUGACGCUGAGGAGCGAAAGCGUGGGUAGCAAACAGGAUUAGAUACCCGGGUAGUC
rnacentral:rRNA from 1 species